CAGUUGAGUAUUGAAAAUACAACAAACAAGUGUAAGAAGAAAUCAGUGCAAUCAGUUGGAUUUAUACGUUUCGCCAGAGAUCAACAAAUGUUUAUAAAAAUUUUAUUAAUAUUAAUAAUUUGCGCAUUGUUAAAAGCCAAUGAACUAGAUUACAACAACAAUAAUAUCAAUAAACAUUAUAAUUAUAGCAACAACAAUAAUAACAACAGCAAUAAUAACUAUAUAACAAAUACAACACAAUUAAAUACAAAACUCACAAAUAAUUUGAAUGAAACAUUGAAUAUUGAAUCAAACACAAAUCCACAAGAAAAUCGCCGACGAAAUAAAUCAAUAUUUAUACCGCCUCCCCGUCAAGCAGCCAAUUGUGGUUUCAAACACAAUGGAAAAUUAUUAAAGUGCUGAUAUUUCCUGUGUCAAGUAACAGUUUUUUUUUUAAAUUAAAAAAAGAAGAAAACUUUCAUUGUUAUUAAAUUGAGAAGAACAAAGACAAUGUAUUUAUUUAAUGUGAAAUUAUUUAUUUUAAUUUAUAUUUUAUUGCAAUUUUCCAUGGCCAGUGAGGAAAAUUUGGACACAAAUGCAUCCCAUGAUUUUAAUGAUACAUCAUCGGAAUUAGUUUACUUCAUAGCCCAAGCACCCCGCAGAAGUGACAAGAAUUGUGGUUUUAAACACAAUGGAAAGCCUAUACCCUGCUCCAGCGAUAAGUUAUUGUGAAUUUAGUUUGAAAUUAUGAUUAAUAAAUGUCAAUAAAUGAA